rnacentral:lncRNA from 1 species
AUGUAAUUAUUGAACUAGUGAAGCAAUUCUGUGCAGUGAAUGGAGUUCUCAGAAUGCCAUACUGAAGCAGAAACAGAAGGAUGAAAGGUAAAGCUAGCAGAGGUAAUGAUGGAGGAUGUCACAGCAUCCCAGAUGCAAGCUGCAGGGAUUCAUCGCUUUGUACAAAAUAGCAAAGGAGUCCUAUAUAAACAGCAUGUAAGAAAUAACAGCUCAAAACUGGGAAAAAAAAAAAAAAAAAAGCCAGGGAAAAUGCCUUCAGUCUUGCCUGGGAGUUUAUUUAAAGCACUUGCAGAUGGCUAG